AGGCGUUUGUUUCCAUCUUGACCUCCAUGUUUGAGGGAAAUGACUUUCCACUUAGUUGACUCCACUCCAUGCUCCAAAUGUGGAUGGGAAACAAAUGUCGGCUUAUAUGCAUAUAUAUUAACGUAUGUAUGUAGUAUAUGUAUGUUAAAUUGACCAGUCAACAUUAAGUGAAUCAUAAUUUAACUUUUUUAUACAAUGUGGGCUUUUCCCAAAUUCCUCUCACAAAUUGCUUAAGGCCACCUUUAAAAUAUUUUUUCAGCUAAUUGGUGACGAGUUGAAGGUGAUAUGAGAAACACUAGCAUGCAUCCGAUACAUAUAGUUUAUCACAAUAACAGCAUAACGGCUAAUAUCCAACAGUUAAAUGACUGCUAAAUUUAUUUUUUUUAUUUACAUGCCAUCUUUGGUUAACCACUGCUCUGCUCAAUAUAUUUUUCAUCCGCCACUAUUAACAGUUUUUUGCAUGUUCUGUAUGUAGUUGUUCUAUAAUGACCUACCACUUUUUCUAAUCGAAAAUCGAAUAUUGGCAGGCCAAUAAUGGCGAAAUUUUAGAUUUUCUGGAAUUUUCUUGGGCCGGAAUUACAGCAGAUGUGGAAUACCCUUUAUUUGGCGCUGCCGAAAAUCGCGUAUAGCUCAAAAAUAAAUUUUUUUCUUAAAAAAUUGAACUGUGUAUUGCUAUAUAAAUGUAUAUAGUUAUGGUUUUAAAAUAAUUGAUAAACAGUUUUUUUAACUCCCAUAAAUCGAAUUUUUGGCGGUUCUUACUUACUUGAGGGCAAGUUAAGUUAGGUCAUAGAAUUGAUCCUAAACAGUGGAUGUCACUUGGACAGAUAUUCCUCCAUUUUGUUACCCAUAAACUCCUAAAAGGGGAUCACUAGAUCCUGACAAAUCGCAUUGGACCAGUAUCUUUAAAUAUACUCCUAUCUUUUUCAAUUUUAUGCCCGGUUUCACAGACCAUACUUAAGUUAUGCCCAAAUAAAAAAUUAUCUGAGCAUUGUUGCAGCCGGAGUAGUCGUUUGCUUUUCACUGUCAAUGCUUAAUUUCUUUAAAAUUUUAUUAUGAUAUAUGGCAACAUUAUGCGCAACAUAUGUUUUACAAAUGUCAUCCAUAAAAAUAUGUUUGUAAUAUUUAAAUUAUAUCAGAAAAUACAUAAAUUUGCGCGGAAAGUUAUAUCGAAAAUGGAUGAAAACAACAAAAGAACCCCGAAUUUCACUGCUAACGAGACGGAGUACCUAUUGAAACUGGUGGAAAUCCCAAUCCGAUUCAGCUGUUACUUAAGCUCUGCUUAAGUCUCCCAUUUUCUCACAACUUAAGUAUGGACUGGGAAACCGGACAUUAAUCGUCACAACUGAAAAGUUAAUUUGUCAAAUUUACAUUGAAAACAAAUUCUCCAACCAGGCAUGGAAUCACACGAAUGCACCAAAAAUAGAGAUUUUCAACUCUUUGUGUAUGUUUUAAAUGUUUUUUGUUGUUUUUGGUUUUUUAUUAAUAAAUAUAUUUUAUAUUAAAUUUAUCAUUUGCUCUCCCAGUGUAAUAUUCCUGAUCAAAGUCGAACAAUAUUCUCUUCUCUCUACAUAUACAUAUGUAUUUGUAUGCGUUUUAAGUGUUAUGUAAAUAAGCGAGUAACAAAAAAGAUAAAAUUUAAUUGAACCGAAAUGAGAAACUAAAUUUUGCAUUAAAAGUUGUGAUAAGACAGUUAAUAUUGUUGGUUUUGUUGCUGUUGUAGCUAUUUUUUAAUCAAAACUUGAUUUAAUUCAUAUAUUUGCUCGAAACGACACUCCAAAUGUGUGUUUGUGUGGGUUUUUUUUAUAUUUUUUCGUUGAAUUAGGAAAUUUGUAAAAAGUGUUUUAUUUUUUUUUUGUUUUGUUUAAUUUAUUUAAUAAAAUAUGAUUUCAAAGCGCGUAUGCUCCAUUUACUUUUGUAUUGCAUUGUUGCAUUUUUUGUUUACUAGAAAAAUGAAAAAGCAAUUAAAGGUGUUGUUGUUGCUGUUGUUGUCGUUAAUAAUUUUUUUUAUAAAUUUUAGUUUAUCUUCAUUAUGUUGUUGGUGUUUUUAACAUUUAUACAAUUAUAUUAAAUUUACAGGUUACAAUUUGUUGUUGUGAUUGUUGUUGCACAUGGAUGUUUGACUCCAAAAGCGAAAACACUACAAGCGAACUUUUUCCUUAGAAAAGCAUUGUCGUCUUCACUUAA
rnacentral:lncRNA from 1 species